CGACUUGCAACGGCUGGCGGCAGGCCUAACACAUGCAAGUCGAGCGGCAGCACGGGUACUUGUACCUGGUGGCGAGCGGCGGACGGGUGAGUAAUGCCUAGGAAUCUGCCUGGUAGUGGGGGAUAACGUCCGGAAACCAACGCUAAUACCCCAUACGUCCUACGGGAGAAAGCUGGGGACCUUCGGGCCUUGCGCUAUCAAAUGAGCCCAGGUCGGAUCAGCUAGUUGGUGAGGUAAGGGCUCACCAAGGCGACGAUC
rnacentral:rRNA from 1 species